UUAAUUGAAACCAAAAAGAGGUAAAUCAUUGUUAAUGAUUAAAUUGAAUAUUUUCCAAUUAAA
rnacentral:tRNA from 1 species